GGGGUUGAAGGAACUGGAGGGAGGGGGGAACGCGAGACAGUGCUUUCCCGGCAACCCUCGCGCGCCACCGAGGACCCGGAUAGAGAGCUGCGAGAUCCAAAUCAUAAAUAAUAAUGACAAUGAGAAAAAGGAGCGACGGCCAUUUCUCAGAGAAGAAAAAGACGAAGUCGGUCCAAGCUCAUCCUUCAGACUCGCCUGAAAGGGGAAUGUGCGUGCGCAGCGGGCUUUCCUGCGUACCCUGGCCGGGACGGUACACUAUGCUGGGAGUCCUGAGUCGGGUCCGGCCAGUGUCCCCACACCCCCCCCAUCCUUCAAGAAUGAUGGAAAGCAUAAGUAGGGGAACUGGUCUGUGGAGUAUGAUUCAUCCAAGGAACCUGGAAGAUAAGCUAUCAACCUGAGGCUGGAAGAGGCAUGAACAGGACAGGAGGAGGACAAAAUAAAAAUAGGUGGAGUUUAGAUAAAAUGUGGUUGACCCUGACAUUCUAGAAGUUAAUCACGAGAUGAAUUGAACUUGUUACUUAGUAACACAAAUCACUUAAUUGAGUAUAUUGGUAAUAUUGAAAGAUCAUCUUUGAUAAAUCCUGGUUUAUUUUAGUCUGAACUAUUCAAAGGUUUUUGUUGUUUUUCCCACCCAAAGAUUUCAAUUCCCAGCUCACAGUGUGAGUUCACCAUUUAGUUGAGAAAGCUUAAUGGACCCAGAGUACUUCCCUGGUAUCCUCUGGAUAUCCUUCCUUCCAAGGACCCUCUGCUCACUUGCAAAACGGGGUUCAUGAUGUUCAUCCUAUGCCUGGAUGGUAGUGGCGAUGGUGUAUGAAUGGAAUACACUGUCAGAAGAGCAAAGGCUAACAACAGUUUGCCAAUGAGGAGGACAACCACUGUAAUGGGACUAUUAGAGGUCCACAGUUUAAAAAUACUGCAGAAAUUCAUCUGUUUGGUUCAGAUAGUAACAAUCCUAACUUGAGAUGGAGGAUGAAGUAGGAAUCAGAAGAGAGAGGAUGGUCGUGAAGGCCCAAGAUGACUGUGACUAGGCUUCCACACUAAACUACCAUCUUCCUACAGACGUGAGGUUUAUCAAAAAGUAAAAUGUCGAUCUUCUGAUUCAAACGCUUCACGUAUAGGAAUCCGCCCAAAGAAAUUGGACAUAUGUAAAAACAUGUAAGGAUAUUCAUAGCUAUAUUAUAAACAAUCAAAAAAAAUCUAAAAGCCUAUCAGGAGGGAAUUAGUUAAAUGAAUUACACUGUAACAGAAUGAAACAUUAGUUAUUAAAAAGAUGUACAUUGUUAUGGAAUGAUACUUUUUUUUAAAACAGGCUGCAAAACAGCACAUAUAAGCUUCUAAAAUUAUAUAUAUAGACACAGGCAUGUGGGGGUAUAAAUGCAAAUAUCUGAUAGAAUAGCAGUAUCUGUAACAGCAGUGUCUCUAGGUGGUCAGAUUUUGAAUGAUUUACUGUCUUCUGUACAGAUUUUUAUAUUGUCUGAACUCUCUAUGAAAGCUUGAAUUGAAUUUGUAAACAGGAAAAAAAGUUACACCUCAAAUAAAAUCUAACCUAUAUCCCUAUA